rnacentral:rRNA from 1 species
GACGAACGCUGGCGGCGUGCCUAAUACAUGCAAGUUGAGCGCUGAAGGUUGGUACUUGUACCGACUGGAUGAGCAGCGAACGGGUGAGUAACGCGUGGGGAAUCUGCCUUUGAGCGGGGGACAACAUUUGGAAACGAAUGCUAAUACCGCAUAAAAACUUUAAACACAAGUUUUAAGUUUGAAAGAUGCAAUUGCAUCACUCAAAGAUGAUCCCGCGUUGUAUUAGCUAGUUGGUGAGGUAAAGGCUCACCAAGGCGAUGAUACAUAGCCGACCUGAGAGGGUGAUCGGCCACAUUGGGACUGAGACACGGCCCAAACUCCUACGGGAGGCAGCAGUAGGGAAGCUUCGGCAAUGGACGAAAGUCUGACCGAGCAACGCCGCGUGAGUGAAGAAGGUUUUCGGAUCGUAAAACUCGGUUGGUAGAGAAGAACGUUGGUGAGAGUGGAAAGCUCAUCAAGUGACGGUAACUACCCAGAAAGGGACGGCUAACUACGUG